rnacentral:rRNA from 1 species
GAGUUUGAUCGUGGCUCAGAAUCAACGCUGGCGGCGUGCCUAACACAUGCAAGUCGAACGCGAAAACCCCGCAAGGGGUGAGUAGAGUGGCAAACGGGUGAGUAACGCGUGGGUGACCUGCCUUCGAGCGGGGGAUAACGUUCCGAAAGGGACGCUAAUACCGCAUAACAUCCUGCCUUUGAACAGGUGGAGAUCAAAGCUGGGGAUUCGCAAGAACCCGGCACUUGAAGAGGGGCCCGCGUCUGAUUAGCUAGUUGGUGAGGUAACGGCUCACCAAGGCGACGAUCAGUAUCCGGCCUGAGAGGGCGGACGGACACACUGGGACUGAGACACGGCCCAGACUCCUACGGGAGGCAGCAGUGGGGAAUUGUUCGCAAUGGGCGCAAGCCUGACGACGCAACGCCGCGUGGAGGAUGAAGAUUUUCGGAUCGUAAACUCCUGUCGAAUGGGACGAAAAGGUCACGGUUUAAUAUCCCGUGAUCCUGACGGUACCGUUAAAGGAACCCCGGCUAACUCCGUGCCAGCAGCCGCCGUAAU